rnacentral:rRNA from 1 species
ACCGGCAAACGGGUGCGGAACACGUACGCAAUCUACCCAAAACUGGUGAAUAGCCCUCCGAAAGGAGGAUUAAUACACCGUAACCUAUUGAAGUGGCAUCACUUUACUAGUAUAGCUCCGGCGGUUUUGGAUGAGCGUGCGGCUGAUUAGGUAGUUGGCGGGGUAACGGCCCACCAAGCCUGCGAUCAGUAACUGGUGUGAGAGCACGACCAGUCACACGGGCACUGAGACACGGGCCCGACUCCUACGGGAGGCAGCAGUAAGGAAUAUUGGUCAAUGGACGCAAGUCUGAACCAGCCAUGCCGCGUGGAGGAUGAAGGCCCUCUGGGUUGUAAACUUCUUUUAUAGGGGACGAAACCCUGGUAUUCUUACCAGAUUGACGGUACCCUAGGAAUAAGCACCGGCUAACUCCGUGCCAGCAGCCGCGGUAAUACGGAGGGUGCAAGCGUUAUCCGGAUUCACUGGGUUUAAAGGGUGCGUACGAGGGCAGGUAAGUCAGUGGUGAAAUCUCCAAGCUUAACUUGGAAACUGCCGUUGAUACUAUCUGUCUUGAAUAUUGUGGAGGUGAGCGGAAUAUGUCAUGUAGCGGUGAAAUGCUUAGAUAUGACAUAGAAACACCAAUUGCGAAGGCAGCUCACUACACAAUCAUUGACUCUGAGGCACGAAAGCGUGGGGAUCAAACAGGAUUAGAUACCCUGGUAGUCCACGCCCU